rnacentral:snRNA from 1 species
GUGCUCGCUUCUGCAGCAUAUAUACUAAAACUGGAAUGAUACAGAGGAGAUUAGCAUGGCCCCUGUACAAGGAUGACAGAAAAAAACAAGCAAACCCAAAAACUUAU